UGCCUCAAACUGGGGGAUAGCCUGGCGAAAGCGAGGGUAAACCCGCAUGGUCCUUUUCGGUCACCUGGCCGGCUAGGUAAACAGUUUCUGGGUUUGAGAGGGGCUUGCGUCUGAUUAGCUAGUUGGGGGGGUAGUGGCCCACCAAGGCGAUGAUCAGUAGGGGUUCUGAGAGGAUUGGCCCCCACAUGGGUACUGAGACACGGACCCAACUCCUACGGGAGGCAGCAGUAGGGAAUAUUGGGCAAUGGGCGCAAGCCUGACCCGGCCAUGCCGCGUGCCGGAUGAAGGCGCUCAGCGUUGUAAACGGCUUUUGACGGGGAAGAACGGGUGGUAUGCGUACCAUCGUGACGGUACCCGCAGAAUAAGCACCGGCUAACUCCGUGCCAGCAGCCGCGGUAAU
rnacentral:rRNA from 1 species